ensembl:lncRNA
CAGCGUCCACUGGAGCUGAAGAAACUGUCAGAUACUCGGUGGGCCUGUAGAGAGAGUGCACUUAAAACUCUGGUGAAGGUCCUCCCAUCUGUCAUGCAGUUCCUUGAGGAAAUGACACAGCACGAUCCCCCAGACUCCUCAGCUGGUGAUGCAAUGACCCUUCUAAAAAGCAUACAUUUUGAGUUCUUCUUGUGUUUAGAGAUCACCUGUCCAAUCUUCCAGGUGACUGCAGUUGCAUCUGAUGCAUUGCAGCAGAAAGUCAUGGACCUGGCUGCAGCAUACAGCAUUGUUGAUGGAGUUUUAAAGAGGCUGGCCUACAGCAGAACAGAAGAAGAGUUUGAGAACAUUUACAAACAGGCUACAGAGAAGGCUGCAUCAGUGGACCUGGAUCCUCCAUCUGAGGUCCCUGGACAAGCAAGGAGGAGGAAAGUGCCAGAAAAGUUCAAGUUUUCUGCCUACGACUGAACAUGCUUUCCCAACUUUGCAGGAGUACUACCGUGUUUUUAGUAGUUGCCAACAGAAUGAACACACACACACACAUUUUAGUUUCUUUAUUUAGAUUUUUGAUUAGACAUAUAAUCAAUCAAAAUCUUAGAGUCACAAUGCAACAUAUGAAAUCAUGAUUACAAUAUUGCAUACUGUAGACACACACACACACACACAUCUCUGUCUAUAUAGAUUUAUCUGUCUCACUCUUACCCCUGCCAUGGCCACCCUCAUCCUUUCCCCCUAUUAAUGUUUCUUUCUCAAAUGAUUUCCCAUGCUUUUUUAAAUCUGGUAUCUGAUUUUCUCUACCUGCAGCUCUUGGUGUGCAGCAGCCUCUGUGAGCAUCCUCUUAUAUUCUUGUAGCAGUCAGCCUUGGCAGUUGCAGCACAGCAGAGAAGAAAAAGCCUUCAGAUUGGGACAACUUAAGACACUUCAGUUUGUAAUUCCAGAGGUCUCUGCACGGCCCUGAACCACACCCACCCACCACUUAGUACUGCCUCUCAGAGUCCUUGUUGCACUACUCCCUUUGUACUACUGGACUCUGUCACUUCCUAGUAAAGUCUGAUAAGUAUGUUCAUUUGUUGUAUGUGUCUCAUUGCUACUGUCCCUACAUUUCAGUUGCACAUGCCACCUUGCACCUUCAGUUUGCCUUCAUGCACAUUUAGAAUUACCAUUGUACUUGUAUUAUUCAGUUGUUACAUGUACAUGUCUACCUAAUUGCUGAUAUCCCUUCAUUUCAGUUGCACAAACUCACCUCCAAUUUGCUCGAUUGCACAGUCAGAAUUGCCAAUUUUAUUUGCAUUUGCACAACUAUUCACUUCCCACUUGUACAUUCAUAAUACCUAAUACUUAUGUAUAUAUGAUCUGUCCUCCUCUAUGUGCCUUCAUUGCACAUCAUAUUUUCACUUGUAACAUACACUAUACUUAAUACCUUACUUGGCUGGUUCCUCACAAUGAGUGUUAAAAAGAUGUAGUAGAUAAAGUAAUAUAGUAAAUUAAUGUGAUAACGUAUGUAAAUAAAGACAUUGUGUUUUCCUCUCAGAAGACAAAGAUCUGUUGCAGAAGAAGAAGAAGGGAGGUAUUAGAGGCUUUUCCAGAAGGGUGUGGAAGAUCAUUACCUCCUCUGGCAUUUGAUCACAAGACAAGUGACACUCAAGAUCAAGAUCCGAGCCUCAAUUAAACACACACAUCCUUGUAUUUCUGUGGACCAAAAAAACCAACUACACCAGGUGGUCCAUCUAUGUCCCAUCUCCCAUCUAUAGAACCAACUACACCAGGUGGUCCAGCUAUGUCCCAUCUCCCAUCUAUAGAACCAACUACACCAGGUGGUCCAGCUAUGUCCCAUCUCCCAUCUAUAGAACCAACUACACCAGGUGGUCCAGCUAUGUCCCAUCUCCCAUCUAUAGAACCAACUACACCAGGUGGUCCAGCUAUGUCCCAUCUCCCAUCUAUAGAACCAACUACACCAGGUGGUCCAGCUAUGUCCCAUCUCCCAUCUAUAGAACCAACUACACCAGG